rnacentral:rRNA from 2 species
CGAGACCAGGACGUUGAUAGGUCAGGUGUGGAAGUGCAGUAAUGCAUUAAGCUAACUGAUACUAAUUGCCCGUACGGCUUGUCCCU